UGAUCAGAAUCACGCUGUUAAACGCUAGCAGUUUUAUUCACCGGGACAUUUUGUAGUAAGUGACGUAUCCUGUCCCCGGGUUCUCCUGCUGUUUUGACCGCCUUCGUGGAAAUGACGCGAUGCCAAAAUCGAAAGUAAAAACUGGUCAGACGUGUUUGUGGACGAGCCGUGAAGCCACAUUUCUGAGCUUCAGACUCCGGUUCGCCCUUUAAGAGGCAGCAAAGAUUUAUCUUUACUUCCUUAAAUUGUUUUUGUUGUUGUGUUUUUGCCAUGGAUCGGCUCCUGGUUGCGGGCCUGCUGUCCGUGUGCGCAGCUCCUACUUUAGGGGAUGGCGAAUCCGUGAAGAUCCAGGCCAUCGCUGGACACUCGGUCAUCCUGCCUUGCCACAUCAGCGUGAGCGAUGACCCCCCCACAGUGGAGUGGUCCAAGGCAUAUAUGCCCUCUGGCAUCGCCUUUGUGUACCGGGACGGCUGCGAGAUCCACGAGAUGAAGCACUCGGACUUCCAGUACAGGACGAGCCUCAUCAUGAACCAAGUGUCAAACGGAAACGCGUCCCUGAGGAUUUCCGACGUGCGGCUGUCUGAUGCAGGGAGGUACACCUGCAAGACAAUCCAGGGGGAAAACCGGGACAUUGUUGGGACAGUGAACCUCUCUGUGGUCGCCGUUUCUGAGCCAAAGCUCUGGGUCGUUGGAGCUGAGGAUUGGAAAAUGACUCUGCAGUGUGAGGCGUCCGGCUGGUUCCCGGAGCCCACGAUAACGUUUCUCGAUGAUCUUGGAAAGGACAUCAGCGGUGCAGACACGAAGACGGACCAGGAUUUCGGAAGAGGUUUCAAUGUCACACGGCGACUGACCCUGCAGACUCCAAUCGACAGGAUUACGUGCAGAGUUCACCAGCCUCAGGUAAACCAGACGAGGGUCGCGGAGAUUUUUGUUCCAGCAGGCGGACAAAAAUCAACUUCUGAUCAAAGCCCAAAGCACGCAAAUUCAGAAAGUUCACUUCAGAGAAUCCAGGAUGACAACAUUAGAAAGGCCACCGCUGAGAAAGAAAAGAGAAAAGCCGUCUCAAAACCCCCUCAGCCUCCCUCACUCCAGCUUCCCAGCAACAACAGUCCAAAACCAGUGGCUUCAACAAGCACCAGUAAACCACCGAAAUCCGGCAGCUCAGUCCAGAACGAAGAUUCAAAACCUCUUCUCCCGAAAAAAAAAUGCAGCAUCUGGUUCCUCGACCCUAAAAAGCAAGCACACCAGUCCUGCUCUUCUGACAGGCUGCGUGGCUGCGCCGUCCGGCUCUUCUUCUUCUUCAGCAUCCACUUCAGGACAAAGCCACGCUUUCCGACCGAGGACCCUGUCUGAGCCUUGGCCUCGUCCAGGUGGAGCCAGGCCCCAAUUCGGAAACGCCUCUUAUAACCGCUACAGUCCUCUGGAAACUUUGGGUGAUGAUAUGGAGGUGGACUCGAAGCAGUGAAGUGAACAUCUCACAGCUGUCAUACACGUGGCUGGCAUUACAGAUGUUCACCAAACACUCCUGAGUCACCCAUUAGACCGUGUGAAGUCUUUAGAACAAGCAGGAAGCAGCAAUAAGGUGAAAAAUGACAUUUUAACUACUGCUGAACGUGGAAAUGAAGUGAACCCUGCUGCAGUGAGCUUUAUGUCAGAGAUGUUUUUCCAUUGUUUGCCUUUGGUUGUAUUUGCACACAUUUGUACACUAGGUGGCGGUUUUGUGUAAUGGGACUGCAUUUAAACAGGAGGGGAAAAGCAGCAGCACAGGGGAGAAGUCAGGCUCUGAGUGUUUCUUCCAUGAGGCUCUUUGUAACUCGUCUAAUGUUGUGAUCCACAUGCUGGCUUUUCUCUUUGUGUUGUGAGCCUUCUGGCAGAAAGCUUUUUCUUCUCUUAUGGUGCUCUGUGGUUUAAACUCUUUAUCUGUUUAACUGAACUUAAUCGUGUCAGCAGCUUCGCUUCUCAGCUGAACAUCGACUACAAGGGAGUUUUACUUCAUGUUCAGUCCUCUGAGUCACAGUCAGACACCUCAUCCACUAGUUCAUGUAGUUGCAUAUUUCGCAACUGACUUUGGCCUUUUUUGGUCUGAACAGCUGACUGUGUCCUUUUUGGGGAUUGUUUUGAAGAUACUAAUUUUAAACUGAGACAAAAUGAGGGGGAAAAAAAGUGUUUUGAAAGUUGAGUCAUGUGUGACCGAUUCCCAGGGGGGAAAACGGCUUAAAUUCAGCACAUAAUCUGAGCUUCAUGGGGAAUGAAAAGGAGAUGCAGCGACAAAAUAUUCCCAAACCACCGCAGCUGGUGGAUGAAGUGACGCCUGAGAUGGGACUCAGGUUGUUUAAAAGGCUCAGGCACCAGGGGUUGAAGGAGAACACGUUGAACUCAUUUAAAUGUAGCUAUGAACAGCCUGUCACAGCUCAAAUUCAAAUAUCUGGUUUCAGCAUGCUGUAAACAAGAAGUGUGAGGCUCACACAUGUUUGGCUUUUCAGUCACAAGAACAGCAUCAAGUCUGAGAGAACCCAGUGGUUAAACCUGCUCGCUGUCAGAUGAUGAGGAAGUAAAACUGACCUCCAACAAAGACGCUAUUGUUGCUUUAAUGUCAUUGUUACAGAGGAAGUCACUACGGCUUGAGAAAAUGAUUUGUAAACUUGUCUUCUUGUUUGGUGCUGAUUUUGGUGCUUCAUAAUUAAGUUCAAAACAAGCUACAUGUGAUCGAAAGGUUGCUGGUCACAACUGAUCCUGUUUACACAAACAUGAUUGUUUAUUAAUUAGUCAGUAAAUUGGUGUUGUUAAAAAUGUCCUAAAAGUCUGGUUCUGUUAAUCAGGUACAACAAGGUUAAAUGUGAAGCAGGAAAGUAAAAGGCCCAAGUGGAGGACAUUGUAAGGACAAAGGUGAAGGUGCACCUGAGACUAUUGAAAGCGUCCCAGCGACCCCCAGGGACUACAGGCCUGUGGCCCUCAGCCUGUCCACAAUGUGCUGAUGAGCUACAGGAGCCCGUUCAGUCAGGGACUCGUACUCCCAUGGUGCACCACAGUGUGACACAGGAAGUCAUUCCUGCCUGUCGCCAUCAAACUAUUGAACCCUGUACUGUAACGGACAUACAAUGUCCUGGAAAUGUGUUUGUAAAUGCGUAUGUAUGUAACCGUAAAUAUGUGAUGUUUUAUAUUUUACUUUAGAUUUUUUCCAUUUCAUUUUCUUGGUCAGGAAAACUGCAAUGUCUGUAAGAAAGAGGAAUUUCCACCCACAUAUUCACUCACGUGUACGUGGGUGAAUAUGUGGGUGUUUCGAUGUUAUUUUUGUUCAGCUCAGUCUGGUUUGUUAAAUACCUUCAUGGUUUUGUGUGGGAGACUGAACAACUCACACCCAGUCACAGUGUAUUCAUGGAAACAUGACCUCACCUGUCAGGUGUGGUGCAUUCACUCAUCCUGUGGUGGACAGAGCACCACAGUGUAGAGAUGCUCAGUCCUGUACUGAACACAAUCUCAUAUACACAUUACUACUAUACUACAGUGGAUUCUGUUGGGUGGUUUCAACCAAGCGUAACGUAUGUAAUGUAUAAUAUUGAUAAUUCAUCGUACUGUGUUUGGUGAUCAGGUUUUGUUUAAGCUAAGUUAAGUUGUGAAGCUUUAAAAGAAUAAACGGAUUACAUGUGAAGUACAA